UUAUUGAAGACAUUGUAUUACUAUGAAGUACAUGUGGCUGUGUAACUUUUGACAGUUAAACACUACUAGAAUUAUGCUCAUAGACAUCACGACAAUUACAUCGGUGAGGAAUUCACGCGAUGUAAAAGAAUAUCAUUAACAUCGAUUCCUCAAAUUCCGAUUUGUAUGCAUAUAACUAACAUCGCUUUUUACUGUUGACCGAUGUCUAUAUUUUGAAUCAAAAAUUUUCAAAAACACGGAAAGACCAAGUCAAAAAUUUUCAGGAACGGGGGAACAAAAUUUUCAUUCCCCACACUUAUUAUUUUUCCACUACUGUGUGAAAAAACUGGCGACCCAUUUUCUCUCUUGCUAUUCCCCGAAUCCUAGCCAUCUCCUCCUUCCUCUCCCACUCUCUUUCCACAGCCACCACUGCUUCCCUCUCCUCCGCUCACUCCCGCUACUAUCUCUCUCUCUCAUUAACUGCCUCCGCCUCUUGGCGGCGCCAUCACCUCCACGAGCAAGCUCUCUCUCUCUCUCUCUGGGAUCUUGGAAGACUGAAAGAAGGCAAAGAACCCUUUUCUCAAUCUCACUCUCGAAUGGGGGAAAUCGAUUGCUUCUGUGAACCAAGAAAACAUCCCAGGGGCGACCGGCUACCACUCCUUGUCCUAAGACGACUAGGGUUUGGGAAAUCCUAAUCAAACCCUAGGCGCCAUAAAAGCCAUAAUCAAGCAAAACUUUUGAAACGUUCCUGGCAGGAAAGAUUUUCCUAGAGAGAUCGAUCAUCUCUGAAGCGGAAUUUUGCUGCCUUUAAUUUGUUUGGAAACGAUGGGCAGAGGAAAGUACAAGAACAAGCCCACUGGUCAGCGCCAGUUCUCCGAUCACGAAGAUCUUCUUGCCGGUACCUCCACCCGUCCCCGUUCUUUUUCAAAGGCAUUUGAUACCCUGCUCCGGAAGCUACAAAGGUAUGUCCCUCUUGGAGCAUCUGUUGCUGAUUUGUAUGCAGGAGCAGGUGUUAUCAGUUUAUCAUUGGCUGCUACAAGAAAAUGCAGGUCUGUGAGAUGCAUUGAGAUUAACAAAGAAUCAAAGCUAUCCUUUGAGAAGACGGUUGCCCGCCUGCCAAACAUAGUAGAUAGCAGCAUCAGCUGGCAUCAUGCAGACACUUCUAAGAUCCACCUUCUUUUGGCUAUCAGUUAAGACAUAGGAGAGGAAAAUCAGAAACUACUCAUGCUCAGUACAUAAACACAAAGGAUUUGAGGCUGACAAUAAGCACUUGGAAUGUUGCUGGAAGAGUUUCGGAUGAAAACCUUGAUAUUGAUGAUUGGAUUUUGAUAAGGAUCUACCCCUGGGUAUCGAAGAAAAGAAGAAACUGGAAAUUUAAAAGCAGAAAGGAAAAUAUAUUUCAUUCAAAGAUGGCUGACGAAACCCUAUUACAUCCUAUAUAUACUCAGCUAAAGGGUUAGGAUGGAGCCACGUCUCAUCCAACCAAGUAGAUCGCAGAUUCGCAGAAAGCAGAAAACUACAAUAAUUGAGCUAAGCAACAACAAUUGAACCGAGUACUGUAAUAAACCCAAUACUGCCUAAUUAAUAGUGGCCACGUGCAAACCAUGCUAACGGGCAGCUAUAUUCAAUCAAACCUAGUCAAAGUUGACUCGUAACAAUUCUUCCUCCACCAAAACAAACUUGUCCUCAAGUUUCAUAGCUAAAACUGAAAGUCUGGGUACCUCUGGAUAAUGUCGUGAGCAAAUUCCCACGUUGCCUCGUCAGGGGAGGUCCCAAACCACUGUAUGAGCCAUUGUGUGGCAGCUUCACCACGUCAUUUCACCAUUCUAGUUUGUAGAACAGCUUCUGGUGCCCACCUUGAAUUGGAAGUAUCAUGGAUGGCGGGUAAUUGAGGUUCCACCACAACAAAAUUACCAACCUUCUUCUUCAAAAGUGACACAUGGAAUACAUUAUGUAUUUUAGCUGAAGGUGGAAGCUGCAGUUUAUAGGCCACCUCUCCAAUUUUCUCAAGCACUUGGAAGGGUCCAUAAUAUUUGGCAGAGAGCUUGUGAAACACUCUUGCAGGCAUAGAGUGUUGCCUAUAGGGCUGGAGUUUAAGAUAAACUCAAUCUCCAGCUUGAAAUUCUCUCUCUGUGUGCUUUUUAUCAUAGAGCCCAUUCAUUCUGGAUUGUGCUUGGUUCACAUUUCUUUUGAUCACAGCUAACAAUUCAUCCCUAUUUUUCAGUUGCUGAUCCACAGAAGCCACUGAUG